rnacentral:lncRNA from 1 species
CCAUUUCUAGCCAACCUGGUUGUCCAUUUUAAGAUAAAGCCUCUUCUCACCCACAACCUGGUAUUCAUCUUUUUUUUUGUUGCGGCCUUGAGCCGGGUCGUAACAGAAUUGGGGGCUCGUCCGGGAUACAUUCGUCUUCGCUGGAGGGUCCGGAGGACCGCUUCAGCAUUCUGUUUCAGCUGGAGGGUCCGAGGGGCCUGUCCAGCCUUCAUUCAUCUUCGCUGGAGGGUCCGAGGGGCCUGUCCAGCCAACAUUCGUCUUCGCUGGAGGGUCCGAGGGGCCUGUCCAGCAUUCGUCCGUCUUCGCUGGAGGGUCCGAGGGACCGCUUCAGCCUUCCGUUUCCGCUGGAGGGGUCCAAGGGGCCUGUCCAGCCAACAUUCGUCUUCGCUGGAGGGUCCGAGGGGCCUGUCCAGCAUUCGUCCGUCUUCGCUGGAGGGUCCGAGGGACCGCUUCAGCCUUCCGUUUCCGCUGGAGGGGUCCAAGGGGCCUGUCCAGCCAACAUUCGUCUUCGCUGGAGGGUCCGAGGGGCCUGUUCAGCCUUCGUCUGUCUUCGCUGGAGGGUCCGAGGGACCGCUUCAGCAUUCCGUCUUCGCUGGAGGGUCCGAGGGACCGCUUCAGCCUUCAGUCUCCGCUGGAGGGUCCAAAGGGCCUGUCCAGCCAUCAUUCGUCUUCGCUGGAGGGUCCGGAGGACCGCUUCAGCAUUCUGUUUCAGCUGGAGGGUCCGAGGGGCCUGUCCAGCCUUCAUUCGUCUCCGCUGGAGGGGUCCAAGGGGCCUGUCCAGCCAACAUUCGUCUUCGCUGGAGGGUCCGAGGGACCGCUUCAGCAUUCGUCCGUCUUCGCUGGAGGGUCCGAGGGACCGCUUCAGCCAUCAUUCGUCUUCGCUGGAGGGUCCGGAGGACCGCUUCAGCAUUCUGUUUCAGCUGGAGGGUCCGAGGGGCCUGUCCAGCCUUCAUUCGUCUCCGCUGGAGGGGUCCAAGGGGCCUGUCCAGCCAACAUUCGUCUUCGCUGGAGGGUCCGAGGGGCCUGUCCAGCCUUCGUCCGUCUUCGCUGGAGGGUCCGAGGGGCCUGUCCAGCCAUCAUUCGUCUUCGCUGGAGGGUCCGGAGGACCGCUUCAGCAUUCAGUCUGCCUGCAGAAUAGCGGCCAGUGCCUUGUGCGCUGGUCCUCCAGGACUACAGCAUUCAUGGCUCUCUAGGUCAUGAAUCAAACAUUUUCAUUUGGGGUUAAAUGUUUGAUUUUUGGGUGGGGGGAAAUGUUACGAUUUAAUGUUGUCAGUGUUUUGUUUUAUGUUAUGUUUAAGGAUUUGUUCUCGUUUCCUGUUUUAUUGUGAAGGUCUGCGUCUCAUGUGAGUGUGUUCAGUUUUACCUCUGUCUCGUCUUGUUGAUUAUUCCCAGCUGUGUUCCCCACCUGUGUGCAAUCUCCCUGUGUUUCCCUGUGUGUAUUUAAGUCGCGUCCUCUGUCUUGGUAGCAGUCUUAAGCGUUUAGUUGAACAACUGAACAAUACUAAUCCCAUAUAUGAUAUUCUCCCAUCUCGCAUAGUUAAGGACUGCUUCAGUGUUAUUGGACCCAGUAUAUUGUCGCUAUUGAAUUCUUCCUUACUCUCCGGCUGCAUCCCGUCAGCCUUUAAACAUGCUAUAGUUCAACCUGUUCUUAAAAAAAGGAACCUUGAUUAUAAUGAUUAUGCGAACUACAGGCCGAUCUCCAACCUUCCGUUCCUGGCCAAAAUCCUUGAGAAGAUAGUUUUGCUGCAACUCCAGGCAUACCUGGAUGAGAAUAACAUUAAUGAUAAAUUCCAAUCGGCCUUCAAACCACAUCAUAGCACUGAGACGGCGCUGCUUCGAG